AUUGAACGCUGGCGGCAUGCCUUACACAUGCAAGUCGAACGGCAGCACGGGAGCAAUCCUGGUGGCGAGUGGCGAACGGGUGAGUAAUAUAUCGGAACGUGCCCGGUCGUGGGGAUAACGUAGCGAAAGCUACGCUAAUACCGCAUACGAUCUACGGAUGAAAGCGGGGGAUCGCAAGACCUCGCGCGAUUGGAGCGGCCGAUAUCAGAUUAGGUAGUUGGUGAGGUAAAGGCUCACCAAGCCGACGAUCUGUAGCUGGUCUGAGAGGACGACCAGCCACACUGGGACUGAGACACGGCCCAGACUCCUACGGGAGGCAGCAGUGGGGAAUCUUGCGCAAUGCGCGAAAGCGUGACGCAGCAACGCCGCGUGAGGGAAGAC
rnacentral:rRNA from 1 species